rnacentral:rRNA from 1 species
AGCAGCCGCGGUAAUUCCAGCUCCAAUAGCGUAUAUUAAAGUUGCUGCAGUUAAAAAGCUCGUAGUUGAAUUUCGGGACUAAUAUGUUGGUCGUGCCUCGGUACGUACUGAUAUUUUUGGUUUCUCCCUUCUGACGAACCUUGAUGUCAUUAAUUUGGUGUCUUGGGAAAUCAGGACUGUUACUUUGAAAAAAUUAGAGUGUUUAAAGCAGGCUCACGCUUGAAUACAUUAGCAUGGAAUAAUGAAAUAGGACGUUUGAUUCUAUUUUGUUGGUUUCUAGGAUCGACGUAAUGAUUAAUAGGGAUAGUUGGGGGCAUUAGUAUUCAAUUGUCAGAGGUGAAAUUCUUGGAUUUAUUGAAGACUAACUACUGCGAAAGCAUUUGCCAAGGAUGUUUUCAUUAAUCAAGAACGAAAGUUAGGGGAUCGAAGACGAUCAGAUACCGUCGUAGUCUUAACCAUAAACUAUGCCGACUAGGGAUCGGAUGAUGUUAAUUUUUUAAUGACUCA